CAUGUCAGAAGUCAUUUGUGUAUUCUUAUUCUUCGGGGUGUUUCCUUUACAAUUUACUUAGAAAUCAAAGCGGAGAUAAGAUGUCUUCCGACUGUUAGUUUCGUUUUAUUUAAUAAUAAGCCUCCAGUGAAGCAAUCCAAGUUUGCUUUUGAGACUUGCAAUACUGUAAAAUAGUACAAUAAUGGAGGUGCUAGCCAAGGGUAUUAUGAUAAGUGCGGCGGUGGUGGUGGCGGCCGUGUCAGCAGUGGUUCACUGGUGGCAGUAUAGACAAGUGCCGGCACGGUAUUCCACUCACGGCGAGCGCCCGAGACGGGACUGAGGUAUAUCUCAACUAUACCCUCCUGAGACCCAGAAUCAGUUGUUAUGGUUUUGAAUUUGGAGCCCUUACUUACACAAUAAGGUUCAAAAUAGAUUGUGGAAUAUGUACCAAACUUUAUAUGCAGGGUCACAGGGGGAUACCUAAAGAAAUCCUAUGUAAAUUAUUAGUAAUUUAGAAUCUAGGUUCUAGAAAGUCUGCUUGACCUAGCACUAGCUUUCAACUUGAAUUGAAAAUUUUAACAUGACUAAUACUUUCCACUUAUAAUCUGAGAUUACCCUAUGGUUCACAUCCCCUUACUAUACUAUACUAUACCAAAUGGGGCAUUAUCUAUGAAAAGGGACCUUAUUGUCGAAUGCGGUUACACCGCAUAGCGUCGCGCGGCAUUGUACUUAUAUUGGGGCAUCGUUAACAAUGGCGUAAGCGCCAUCGACAGUAAGGUCCCUUUUCAUAGAUAACGUCACAAAUUGUUAUAAGUGGGGAAUGGUGAUUGAUUAAGACUACCUUAAAUAUUUCAAACUAUCUUUAUACCAAAUGUCAUCUACACGGUGUAACAUGAGUAAACCGAAUAAUUUUAACCACGCAUUUCUGAGGUCAAAAGAAGUAAAAAAUUUAAUAUAAGUUUAGGUAAAUUUCGCCAAAAAAGAAUUUUUUUUUGUUUAAGUUUUUCAAUUUUUUGAAUGUAUUUGUACAUAAAAAAUAAAUGUUGUUGGUAAAGUUGUCACUUAAAAUAGAUUUUUACAUAUUUUUUUCGUAGAACCUACUUUUUGCAAAGUGUUACUUGUCACUUUUUGACAUCUAUCAAUAAGGAUAUUUAGACUAUGUCCCAUAGCAGCAACAUCACUAUCAAAAAGGCCUUUUACACUAGAGAUGCACCGGAUAUCCGGUUACUAUCCGGUAUCCGGCCUAUCCGGCCAUUAUUUUACUAUCCGGCCGGAUACCGGAUAGUGACCUACUAUCCGGCCGGAUACUGGAUAGUAACAUUGCUUGAUUUCGGAGUAAACAAAUUGGAUUUAAGAAACAGACACGGUCAUAAUCGUACUUGUUUAUUAUUUUAAAACAAUUUAAUCAUUCCACUCACUUGCACGAGCACUCAUUUCGAACCUAGAAAUGAGUCCGCGUGAAUGUUUACUAGGAAACAGGUCAAACCUGCUGAAUAACACCUGAAAAACCGAAAUGUAGGUAUAGUUCCGCCGGCCGGAUACCGGAUAUUCGGCCAGUGUCCCGGCCGGAUAUCCGGUAUCCGGCCAAACAACUAUCCGUUGCAUCUCUAUUUUACACUAUGUAACAAUAAAAACUUGUUUUUUUUUUAAAUUAAUAAUAUCUCUGAAACUAGGCGAAUUUCAAAAGUUUAUAGGACAUUUUUGUCUCUAAAUACGAUCAGGAAUACGCUGUUAAAAUUAUUCGUUUUACUCAUGUUACACCGUGUAUAAUGUAAACUUACCAGUAAACAUCUUGAAACUUCAAGUCAUUGUCAAUAGAUGUGACAGCAUGGUGUCAUCUAUUGGGCAUUAGCAUGUCGAGCACUAUUACGUUUACCUUAUUGAUGCCGCGGUUAUGUAUGAAGAGGUAACAGAGUUACUUUCACAUAUACAGUAUGUGUCUGACCAUGGAGCUUUAAUUCCAGGGCUUGAUUUAACUCGCUAAACUGAGCUACUUUUACUAUGGGAUCAACCCUAAGAUCGGGAAAAAAUUUUUGGCUUUUCCAUAGAAAACGUCGACAUCUGAUCAGCCAAAAUGUAUGAAAAAGUAAAAAUUUUUUUCGGGAUUUCGGGGUUGGUGCCAUAAUAAAAUUUACACUUUACGUUUUUUUUUUUUAACUUUACAUUAGCUCAGUUUAGCGAGUAGAAUCGAGCCCUAGAUUCAAAGCCCGAUGGUCAGUAACACCCUGUAUAGUUUUGAUUUUAGGUAAUUGCGGUUAAGUUUACCUAGUUUCAAUUAAAUUUCUGUUUUGUUUAAUCAAUUCAAUCACAGCAAUAAUGCGAUAUUAUUAGCUUUAAUAGAAAUUAAUAAUAUUUAUCACAAGCUAUGUUAUUUUAAGAUUGGUUCUUUUAAUUAAAUGUUUGAAUUAAU